AAUAACUUUAUUUUUUAUUUUUCCGUGUCCAACGUUUAACCAUUCGUCUUAUUUGAAAAAUUUGUAAAAAACUUAAAAAAAUCAGUCACGUAUAAAAUACUAUUUAUAUUUUAUCAUCCAGUAACAAUAAAAGUAUUAAUCGCAAAAAAGUUUCAAAUAAAACAAAUGGUCAAACGUUGGACACGGAAAAAC
rfam:Oryza brachyantha chromosome 8, whole genome shotgun sequence.